rnacentral:tRNA from 1 species
GGUCCCGUAGCGCAGAGGCAGGCGCGUCGCCUUUGCAGGGCGAACACGCUGGUUCGAAUCCAGCCGGGACCG